rnacentral:rRNA from 1 species
AAGCGUUUAUGACCAGACUUGGGCUUGGUUAAUCAUCUGGGGUUCUCCCCAGUGCACUUUUCCAGUCCAGGCCAGCAUCAGUUUUCCCCGGGGGAUAAAGACUUCGGGAAUGUGGCUC